GUGCCAGCCGCCGCGGUAAUACAGAGGGUGCAAGCGUUAAUCGGAAUUACUGGGCGUAAAGGGCGCGUAGGUGGAAUAAUAAGUUGGAUGUGAAAUCCCCGGGCUUAACCUGGGAACGCCAUCCAAAACUGUUGAUCUAGAGUAUAGUAGAGGGAAGUGGAAUUUCCGGUGUAGCGGUGAAAUGCGUAGAUAUCGGAAGGAACACCAGUGGCGAAGGCGGCUUCCUGGACUAAUACUGACACUGAGGCGCGAGAGCGUGGGGAGCAAACAGGAUUAGAUACCCUGGUAGUCCACGCUGUAAACGAUGAGAACUAGCCGUUGGGUCCUUAAAACGACUUAGUGGCGCAGCAAACGCGAUAAGUUCUCCGCCUGGGGAGUACGGCCGCAAGGCUAAA
rnacentral:rRNA from 1 species